rnacentral:tRNA from 1 species
GGAGGGAUGGCCGAGUGGGAAGGCACCGGUUUGCUAAGCCGUGGUCUGGUACGCCAGCGCGGGUUCGAACCCCGCUCCCUCCG